rnacentral:rRNA from 1 species
GACGAACGCUGGCGGCGCGCCUAACACAUGCAAGUCGAACGAGCGAGAGAGAGCUUGCCUUCUUGAGCGAGUGGCGAACGGGUGAGUAACGCGUGAGGAACCUGCCUCAAAGAGGGGGACAACAGUUGGAAACGACUGCUAAUACCGCAUAAGCCCACGGUGCCGCAUGGCACAGAGGGAAAAGGAGCAAUCCGCUUUGAGAUGGCCUCGCGUCCGAUUAGCUAGUUGGUGAGGUAACGGCCCACCAAGGCGACGAUCGGUAGCCGGACUGAGAGGUUGAACGGCCACAUUGGGACUGAGACACGGCCCAGACUCCUACGGGAGGCAGCAGUGGGGAAUAUUGCACAAUGGGGGAAACCCUGAUGCAGCGACGCCGCGUGGAGGAAGAAGGUCUUCGGAUUGUAAACUCCUGUUGUUGGGGAAGAUAAUGACGGUACCCAACAAGGAAGUGACGGCUAACUACGUG